AACGAACGCUGGCGGCAUGCCUAACACAUGCAAGUCGAACGAUCCCUUCGGGGAUAGUGGCGCACGGGUGCGUAACGCGUGGGAACCUGCCCUUAGGUUCGGAAUAACUCAGAGAAAUUUGAGCUAAUACCGGAUAAUGUCUUCGGACCAAAGAUUUAUCGCCUUUGGAUGGGCCCGCGUUGGAUUAGCUAGUUGGUGGGGUAAAGGCCUACCAAGGCGACGAUCCAUAGCUGGUCUGAGAGGAUGAUCAGCCACACUGGGGCUGGGACACGGCCCAAACUCUUGCGGAAGGCCGCAGGGGGGAUUAUGGAACAAUGGGCGAAGGCAGAAGCCAGCAGGGCCGGAAAGUUAUUGAGGGCCUAAGGAUUAUAAGCUCUUUUACCCGGGAUGAUAAUGACAGUACCGGGAGAAUAAGCCCCGGCUAACUCCGUG
rnacentral:rRNA from 1 species